CAGACUGUGACUUCUCUGCAGGAGUAAGCACAGAUAUAACCUGGGCUGUGUCAAAGAGAAACUACUAUCCGAUUAUAUAUAUUUUCAAUGAUAUGGAGAACAUAGGAAAAUUAAAUCCAAAGCGGCACAGCAGGAGCACAGAAGUCCCUGCACUCUUCAGGGAACAGGGAACCCAAGGACUGCUAUCGCAGGAGGCCCUUUUACAGCCACGUAAAGGGGCCCGAACCCGCUCUCGGCAGCCCUGGUUCCCAGCUAUGACUGCCAACUGUAUCCAACUGCUGACUGCUGCCAAAGCCCUUCACCCCUCAUGG